UCGUCGAUAACUCAGUUGGUAGAGCGGAAGACUGUAGAGUCAGUACGUAUCCUUAGCUCGCUGUUUCAAAUCCUGCUCGACGGA
rnacentral:tRNA from 1 species